CUGCAUAUUCCUAUGACUUCUCAGAGUUCUGUGGACAAUGACUGAGGAGACAAACCAUGCAG
rnacentral:snoRNA from 1 species